rnacentral:tRNA from 1 species
AAGGUCCUAGCUUAGUUAAAGCAUCUGAGUUGCAUUCAGGGGAUGCAGGUUAAUUUCCUGCGGACUUUA